rnacentral:sRNA from 1 species
UAUUGGUUUGCGUGAGGGAUAGUAGCGGCAUCCUUUUGUGGCGGGGUUCGCCACAAAAGAAAUAGCGAAUAGCCCGGACCCGU